GACGAACCGUGCGAACGUUGUUCGGAAUCACUGGGCUUAAAGGGCGCGUAGGCGGCUCGACAAGUCGGGGGUGAAAUCUUUCGGCUCAACCGGAAAAGGGCCUCCGAUACUGUCGAGCUCGAGGGAGGUAGGGGCGGACGGAACUUCCGGUGGAGCGGUGAAAUGCGUUGAUAUCAGGAGGAACACCAGUGGCGAAAGCGGCUUCCUGGUCCAGCACCGACGUUCAGGCACGAAAGCGUGGGGAGCAAACAGG
rnacentral:rRNA from 1 species